AUACCGGAAGGAAGUUAUACCGCAGUGUUCCUUUACCGGACAUCCAAGGAGAGCGACGGCAGAUGUACGGACGGUGU
rnacentral:sRNA from 12 species